rnacentral:rRNA from 1 species
UACGUAGGUGGCAAGCGUUGUCCGGAUUUACUGGGCGUAAAGAGCGCGCAGGCGGUCGUUCAAGUCGCGUGUGAAAGCCCCCGGCUCAACUGGGGAGGGUCACGCGAUACUGAUCGACUCGAAGGCAGGAGAGGGAAGUGGAAUUCCCGGUGUAGUGGUGAAAUGCGUAGAUAUCGGGAGGAACACCAGUGGCGAAAGCGAGCUCCUGGACGUUUUCUGACGCUGAGACGCGAAAGCCAGGGGAGCGAACGGG